GCAUGGUCCCGACCUUAUUAUCAGCUCUAACUCAACUUACACAUGCAAGUCUCCGCAACCCAGUGAAUAUGCCCUCAAUCCCCCCACCCGGGGACGAGGAGCGGGCAUCAGGCACAAACAUUAGCCCAAGACGCCUAGCCAAGCCACACCCCCAAGGGAAUUCAGCAGUGAUAAACAUUAAGCCAUAAGUGAAAACUUGACUCAGUUAGUGUUAAGAGGGCCGGUAAAACUCGUGCCAGCCACCGCGGUUAGACGAGAGGCCCUAGUUGAUAUUACAACGGCGUAAAGGGUGGUUAAGGAUAAACAAAAAUAAAGUCAAAUGGCCCCUUGGCCGUCAUACGCUUCUAGGAGUCCGAAGCCCUAAUACGAAAGUAACUUUAAUAAACCCACCUGACCCCACGAAAGCUGAGAAACAAACUGGGAUUAGAUACCCCACUAUGCUCAGCCGUAAACUCAGACAUCCAGCUACAAUUAGAUGUCCGCCAGGGUACUACGAGCAUUAGCUUAAAACCCAAAGGACCUGACGGUGUCUCAGACCCCCCUAGAGGAGCCUGUUCUAGAACCGAUAACCCCCGUUCAACCUCACCACUUCUAGCCACCCCAGCCUAUAUACCGCCGUCGUCAGCUUACCCUGUGAAGGUAAUAAAAGUAAGC
rnacentral:rRNA from 1 species